UCCUUGGAGGUCCAGUAGUUAGGACUCAGCACUUUCACUGCUGAUGACCUGGGUUCCAUCCCUGGUCUGGGAA
rnacentral:tRNA from 1 species